rnacentral:rRNA from 1 species
UCCGUAGGGUGCGAUCGUUAAUCGGAAUUACUGGGCGUAAAGCGUGCGCAGGCGGUUAUGUAAGACAGAGGUGAAAUCCCCGGGCUCAACCUGGGAACUGCCUUUGUGACUGCAUGACUAGAGUACGGCAGAGGGGGAUGGAAUUCCGCGUGUAGCAGUGAAAUGCGUAGAUAUGCGGAGGAACACUGAUGGCGAAGGCAAUCCCCUGGGCCUGUACUGACGCUCAUGCACGAAAGCGUGGGGAGCAAACAGG